rnacentral:rRNA from 1 species
UACGGAGGGUGCAAGCGUUAUCCGGAUUCACUGGGUUUAAAGGGUGCGUAGGAGGGCAGGUAAGUCAGUGGUGAAAUCCCCGAGCUUAACUUGGGAACUGCCGUUGAUACUAUCUGUCUUGAAUACCGUGGAGGUGAGCGGAAUAUGUCAUGUAGCGGUGAAAUGCUUAGAUAUGACAUAGAACACCAAUUGCGAAGGCAGCUGGCUACACGAAUAUUGACACUGAGGCACGAAAGCGUGGGGAUCAAACAGG